GACGUAGGGCGCGAGCGUUGUCCGGAUUUAUUGGGCGUAAAGAGCUCGUAGGCGGCUUGUCGCGUCGACUGUGAAAUCCCGCGGCUCAACUGCGGGUCUGCAGUCGAUACGGGCAGGCGUAGAGUUCGGUAGGGGAGACUGGAAUUCCUGGUGUAGCGGUGAAAUGCGCAGAUAUCAGGAGGAACACCGGUGGCGGAAGGCGGGUCUCGUGGGGCCGAUACUGACGCUGGAGGAGCGAAAGCCGUGGGG
rnacentral:rRNA from 1 species